rnacentral:rRNA from 1 species
AGUGAACGCUGGCGGUAGGCCUAACACAUGCAAGUCGAACGGCAGCACAGUAAGAGCUUGCUCUUACGGGUGGCGAGUGGCGGACGGGUGAGGAAUACAUCGGAAUCUACUUUUUCGUGGGGGAUAACGUAGGGAAACUUACGCUAAUACCGCAUACGACCUACGGGUGAAAGCAGGGGAUCUUCGGACCUUGCGCGAUUGAAUGAGCCGAUGUCGGAUUAGCUAGUUGGCGGGGUAAAGGCCCACCAAGGCGACGAUCCGUAGCUGGUUUGAGAGGAUGACAGGCAAACUGGGACUGGAGCACGGGCCCAGCUCCUUCGGGGAGGCACAGUUGGGAAUUAUUGACAAUGGGGGCAAACCUGGUCCAACCAUACCGGGGGGGUGAAGGAAGCCUUCGGGGUGUUAAGCCCUUUUUGUGGGGAAAAAAAGCAGCAGGUUAAUACCCCGCUGUUCUGACGGUACCCAAAAAAUAAGCACCGGCUAACUUCGUG